GACGAACGCUGGCGGCGUGCCUAAUACAUGCAAGUUGAGCGCUGAAGGUUGGUACUUGUACCUAUUGGAUGAGCAGCGAACGGGUGAGUAACGCGUGGGGAAUCUGCCUUUGAGCGGGGGACAACAUCUGGAAACGAACGCUAAUACCGCAUAAAAACUUUAAACACAAGUUUUAAGUUUGAAAGAUGCAAUUGCAUCACUCAAAGAUGAUCCCGCGUUUUAUUAGCUAGUUGGUGAGGUAAAGGCCCACCAAGGCGAUGAUACAUAGCCGACCUGAGAAGGGGAUCGGCCAAAUUGGGAAUGGGACAAGGCCCAAAAUCCUACGGGGAGCAACAGGAAGGGAUCUUCGGCAAUGGGCGAAAGUCUGGCCGGGCAACGCCGGGGGGAUGGAGGAGGUUUUCGGAUCGUAAAACUCUGUUGAUAGAGGAGAACGUUGGUGGGAGUGAAAAGCUCAUCAAGUGACGGUAACUACCCAGAAAGGGACGGCUAACUACGUG
rnacentral:rRNA from 1 species